rnacentral:rRNA from 1 species
UUAAGUUAGAAAGGGCGCACGGUGAAUGCCUUGGCACUAGGAGCCGAUGAAGGACGGUACUAACACCGAUAUGCUUCGGGGAGCUGUAAGUAAGCUUUGAUCCGGAGAUUUCCGAAUGGGGGAACCCAUCAUCCGUAAUGGGAUGAUAUCUUUACCUGAAUACAUAGGGUAUUGAAGGCAGACCCGGGGAACUGAAACAUCUAAGUACCCGGAGGAAGAGAAAGCAAACGCGAUUCCCUGAGUAGCGGCGAGCGAAACGGGAUUAGCCCAAACCAAGAGGCUUGCCUCUUGGGGUUGUAGGACACUCUACACGGAGUUACAAAGGAGCGAGGUAAGUGAACAGGUCUGGAAAGGCCGGCCAUAGAAGGUAAAAGCCCUGUAGUUGAAACUUCGUUCCCUCCAGAGUGGAUCCUGAGUACGGCGGGACACGAGAAAUCCCGUCGGAAGCAGGGAGGACCAUCUCCCAAGGCUAAAUACUCCCUAGUGACCGAUAGUGAACCAGUACCGUGAGGGAAAGGUGAAAAGCACCCCGGAAGGGGAGUGAAAUAGUUCCUGAAACCGUGUGCCUACAAGUAGUCAGAGCCCAUUAACGGGUGAUGGCGUGCCUUUUGUAGAAUGAACCGGCGAGUUACGAUUACAUGCAAGGUUAAGUUGAUAAGACGGAGCCGCAGCGAAAGCGAGUCUGAAUAGGGCGAAUGAGUAUGUGGUCGUAGACCCGAAACCAGGUGAUCUACCCAUGUCCAGGUUGAAGUUCAGGUAACACUGAAUGGAGGACCGAACCCACGCACGUUGAAAAGUGCGGGGAUGAGGUGUGGGUAGCGGAGAAAUUCCAAUCGAACUUGGAGAUAGCUGGUUCUCUCCGAAAUAGCUUUAGGGCUAGCCUCAUGUAGUAAGAGUCUUGGAGGUAGAGCACUGUUUGGACUAGGGGCCCUCAUCGGGUUACCGAAUUCAGACAAACUCCGAAUGCCAAAGACUUAUCCAUGGGAGUCAGACUGCGAGUGAUAAGAUCCGUAGUCAAGAGGGAAACAGCCCAGACCACCAGCUAAGGUCCCAAAGUAUACGUUAAGUGGAAAAGGAUGUGGAGUUGCUUAGACAACCAGGAUGUUGGCUUAGAAGCAGCCACCAUUUAAAGAGUGCGUAAUAGCUCACUGGUCGAGUGACUCCGCGCCGAAAAUGUACCGGGGCUAAACGUAUCACCGAAGCUGUGGAUGGACACCAUUAGGUGUCCGUGGUAGGAGAGCGUUCUAAGGGCGUUGAAGCUAGACCGUAAGGACUGGUGGAGCGCUUAGAAGUGAGAAUGCCGGUAUGAGUAGCGAAAGAUGGGUGAGAAUCCCAUCCACCGAAUGCCUAAGGUUUCCUGAGGAAGGCUCGUCCGCUCAGGGUUAGUCGGGACCUAAGCCGAGGCUGAAAAGCGUAGGCGAUGGACAACAGGUUGAUAUUCCUGUACCACCAAAAUCCGUUUGAGUGAUGGGGGGACGCAGGAGGAUAGGGUAAGCGCGCUGUUGGAUUAGCGCGUCCAAGCAGUUAGGCUGCAAGUGAGGCAAAUCCCGCUUGCAUACGGCUGAGCUGUGACGGCGAGGGAAAUAUAGUACCGAAGUUCUUGAUUCCACACUGCCAAGAAAAGCCUCUAGCGAGGAUUAGGUGCCCGUACCGCAAACCGACACAGGUAGGCGAGGAGAGAAUCCUAAGGUGAGCGAGAGAACUCUCGUUAAGGAACUCGGCAAAAUGACCCCGUAACUUCGGGAGAAGGGGUGCUCAUUAGGGUGUUAAAGCCUUGAUGAGCCGCAGUGAAUAGGCCCAGGCGACUGUUUAGCAAAAACACAGGUCUCUGCGAAGCCGCAAGGCGAAGUAUAGGGGCUGACGCCUGCCCGGUGCUGGAAGGUUAAGAGGAGGGGUUAGCGCAAGCGAAGCUCUGAAUCGAAGCCCCAGUAAACGGCGGCCGUAACUAUAACGGUCCNUGG